GGUUUAAUUCGAUGCAACGCGAAGAACCUUACCUGGUCUUGACAUCCCGGAGACCCUUAGGAAACUAGGGGGUGCUUCCAUCUGGAAGAAUCUGGAGACAGGUGCUGCAUGGCUGUCGUCAGCUCGUGUCGUGAGAUGUUGGGCUAAGUCCCGCAACGAGCGCAACCCUUGCCUUUAGUUGCCAGCAGUUCGGCUGGGCACUCUAAAGGGACUGCCGGUGUUAAACCGGAGGAAGGUGGGGAUGACGUCAAGUCCUCAUGGCCUUUAUGACCAGGGCUACACACGUACUACAAUGGCCGAUACAAAGGGCAGCGACACUGCGAGGUGAAGCCAAUCCCGUAAAAUCGGUCUCAGUCCGGAUUGGAGUCUGCAACUCGACUCCAUGAAGUUGGAAUCGCUAGUAAUCGUGGAUCAGCAUGCCACGGUGAAUACGUUCCCGGGCCUU
rnacentral:rRNA from 1 species